rnacentral:lncRNA from 1 species
AGGGUCUAUACACCUUCACCAGGAAAGCAGUGAUGACAGCUGUGCUCCCUGUCUCCUGCAGGAUGUGGAUGGCGAGGUGUCCACUUCCCUCUGCUGCUUGAUCUCAGAUACACUCAACCACAGAUCCUAUUAACUGGCAACCUGAAGGUUUAUGCACCUUGAGGACUGCUGAACACCUUGACACAGCUAGCUCGUGCAUCUAAGAGAUUGACUGAGGCAGCAGCUUUGAAAUACUUCUUCAACUACUGCAAAGACUGCAAGAUAUCCAUUAAAGCACAAUUUACUUCAUCAGCAAGCCUUCUGCAAGCUGUUCCCAAAAAGGGUGAAAUGAGCUGUGGCCUGGAAAGGACAUUACUAGAAGAAACCAUGGAAGAACGGGAAUGACAACAUUCAGGUCUGCCAAACCCAAUCUGACUUAAUUUAAUGCAACUAUUCACAAUAAAGGUUUCUAAAAUAUAAUAUCUGUUAAAAUAUAAACUUUAACCAA